UCUCUUCGUUUACUACUUUCAUAUGCUUAUCUAAAUUCACCAUAUAAUUCUGCAACUCCUAUUAUCCCCGUUUGCGUAUUGUUUAUAACUUCUCCUUUUUGACCACAAACCACAAUCAGCUUUCCUCAGUAUUACAAAGGCAGCUCAUAUCUCUGUCUAACAACACUAACCACUUCCUCCCUGGCACAGGCCACACUAACCCCACACUUGAACUUCCAUAUGGUACAUUUGUACAUCACACUACUUCCACAUCCACUCCUGUCAUUGGAGCCUUUUUUACAGCCUGAAGGCUCUGCUUGUGAGCUUGAUUGUUUCUCAGAGUACACACAUUGUUUUGGAAGGGAAGCUGGGAAAUGGGUGAUUAAUCCGCUGCAUCUGUUGUCAUGAGAACCUUUGGACAGGAACGGGCCCUCGUGGUCUGACCCGCCAUGGGUAAACAGAGGUGUGUGAGCUAGCCUGUGGGGCACGCUCACAUGCACUAAAAGCAUGCACAGCCGGCUUGGCGAUGUAAACAAAGCAAGGAGAAUCUUGGAUUAUAACACACACAGAGGGAGAGCGACUUCAUUCUCUGCUCAGUCACUAGGUUGAAAAGUCGCCCAUACUGCCUCCAUUCGCCUCGCUGCAGCCCCGGCCCCCCCUCAGCCGUGACGGCCAGCUGACAUGUUGUGACAUGGUGCUGGAACGCCGGGAGGUUCCAGACCCCGGGCACAGCCGGACUCUCUUUCUCUUUCUAGCUUUGUUUUUGUUUUCUUGGUGCGUGUGCAGUACCAGAUCAGGAUCAGACUUCUGGAUCUAUGGCCACAACACAGGAGGGGCAGUUGUUUAUCAUGAGUGAAUUUUCAUUUCUGGUUUUGUAUGUAUUGUUCCCCACUCUAAAACAAUCAUUCUAUUGUCUGCCUAUCGGAGAUUAGAUAGCAAAAUACUUAUCUAUAUCAGGGUUUUACUGAUAUAGAUAACCAAUAUCCAUUCAAAAUAUCUUGUUAGGCUCAUUCUUUUGCAAUUUUAGUAUACAAUAUACAAACUAAAUUGGAAAUGCAGAUUUAUUUGUUUAUUGAUAAUCCCUUCAUACUCAGGAUUUUUUGGGAGCAACCCAUAUAUACUACACAUAAUGUCAAAUUAAUCUGUAUUUUAAGCAAUAACUUCAGGGUUUUUUUUAUAUGUAAAGACUGAAAAGUAAAUGAAAGGGAAUUAAUGGUUCCACAUUCAGUAAAACGUUACCCCUGCCUACAGAUGACUGACCUACUGAUUUCACUCAGAAGCUGCCAGCAGAGCGAUCAUUUGAUUUUAAGGGAAGAUGACUCAUCCAAUAUCAUUGAGCAGUUAAAAUGCGGGAGAUGAGGUCAAGGUCAUAAUCAAUGGGGUGUUUUAUUUUCUCAGAGUAACAUAGUUUUUUAUUUUCCAGAAGAAAAAAGGCUUGUCAUUUGUUUUUACUAUUGUUGACGUCAGGGACUAAAAGUCACUGAGGUGUGAAUUUAAAAAGGGCCAAUCUUUGAUGGUUACUAUCUGUGUUAGGCCUCAUUAAAUACUGCUAAGAAAGUUGGUGACAAUAAAAAGGGCUUUGCUUAAGCUCUAGAACAUUCCCAGACGAUGCUUAAUGAGAAAGUACUUAAAUGAUACCAAUGUCUCAGUCAGUCAAACUUAAAAUAAUGCAAUAAAUGAAGAAGAGAGCUCUUUUGAUUAGCAUGACGUGAAGAUCAGACGUUUCCAUAAAUAUUUCACGGUGCAAGUCAAAUGUCCUUUCUUGGUUUGGAUUGAAGAAAGUGGCUUUAAUCUGUCUUUGGUCUUCCUCUUUGGUACUCGUGGCGUUAGUUUACAGUAGGUCAAAAUAUCAGAAUACUAACAGGCUGAUUGGAUGGUUAGUCUGAGCCUUACAUAUUUGCCCACGGGUGUCUUUCAUUGAUAUUCACUGGGGCGGCCUUGUCCGAGUGUAUUAAGGAACUGACAAAGCAGAUCCCAUCACGUCAGCCAGCAGCCCGGUCAGAUAAACAUUGUUGUGUCAAAAAAGAAAAAAUGUCAGUCCCUUCAGACCCUACCUUUUCCAGCACCCUUGUAAUUUUUAAUUGACAUUUACUGCUGACAUUUGAAAAUGUGCCUCAUCUUUCUCUUAUUGUUAGACCUUACGUAUUAUCGUCUGAGUGCGUGCGUACGUGUGCAUGUUUGUGUGUGCCAGCAGUCAAUUUGGGGUCAGAGCUUUGUAGUCGCAAAAAACAUAAACCAUUGGAGAAAUCGGGUACAAGAGAGUGAUGGGGUGACAUCAUCCUGCUUUCACUUCUCAUUAGUUGAUUUCAGUUUAUGAGACGGGAGCCUGAAGGGCUGAUGUUUAGGGUGUUUGUCCAUUCCUUCAUUCCUCAAACUCAGAUUUCAGUGCUUGACUCCAAACCUUUGGGUUUUUCUUUCUGACUGCCCUUGGAAUCGCACAGCAGUGUUUGUAAUUACUUCAUUGCCCCUGAUUGACAUUUCCAGUGAUUUGCUUAUUUUUCAUGAAUUCCCUCUUUGCUUUAACUGAGCUGCUUCACCCAUCGCUUGUGUUAAUUGUUCUCGGUUUUGCCCUCAAGCAUUGCAGAGUGAGCUAUGGGGACAUGUUUUUGUAGACGGAAAAGAAAAAACAUAACUAAUUUUCCCUCCAAAGCCCUCACCAACUGCAUUUAUCAUCCAAACAAUAGUCUUGCCAACACACUAACCCCAUAAUGAACCCCUCUUCAGUGGAGUGAGGGGUAAUGACGCUUCACCUACAAUGCUCCCAAGAAAAAAAAAAGAUAAAAAAAAGGGAGGGAAAAAAAAUGGAGAGAAAAACGGUCUUCUUGCAGAAUCAAACGGCGUGUUCAGGCCCAGUGCCUGGAUGAGAUGGCGAAGCAGCAGCUAUUGGUGUCUCCCAGCCAUCAAUCUUAGCUGGUGGCGUUCCAGCGCCAGCGAGCCCUCUGCUCUGACGGAUGUUCAGAUAAUUGAGUUAUCCAUCUCGCCCAACUAUCAGAGUUGCAUAAAAAUUAUUCACCUGCUGGUGAAUAUUAAACACAUAAUGAGCCUCUUGUGUGCUUUAGGAGAAGUGGGUAAGGUUAAACACAGCAUGUAAUGAAAUAUGGACCCUCGUGUGGUGCCACCUUAACUGCCCCUCCUUGAUUAUGGCGUACUUAAAUCAAUUACGGUUGGCAAAGUUCCUUCCAUAACUCUCCGAGCAGCAACUGAAGUUCAGUUUAGCUCAUCAGAUAAUUAAUCCUGAAUACAUUCGGAUAAUAACAUAUAUUUGCUGGCUUCCUGAAUAUUUGUGCACUUGGAUGAUUGUUGUUUUUGUAUUUUUGACCAUGCUACUGUGGUCCCUGUGAGGUUUAGUUAAUAUUGGGGUGGGAGAAAAAAACGAUACAGCAUAGUAUCACGAUAUUUUGCGUGGUAAUAUUGUAUCAAUACACGGACGUCAAAUAUUGAUCUUUUAUUAUAUAAACUAUUAACCUCUUAACAAUCCAACGGCAGGCCUGGCUGCUAUUCUGUCAGUUUUAAAGCUAGGUAAGUGAAGCUACUGGUAUUAUAUCAAAGUAGAAAACCCAAAUCGAUUGGUACCAACCAUGUCAUGUUAGCUUGUCGGGAAGAACACUAAAUAACGCUUCAAAAUUAUGCACAAUUUUGGCAAAACUGGCAUGGCCAUUUUCAAAGGGGUCCCUUGACCUCUGACCUCAAGAUAUGUGAAUGGAAAUUCUGAGAUAAACUGAGUGAAAACUGUUUCUUAUUAGAUAAAAACAGAUGUUGACAAACUGCAUAAUUUACAGUU